UAUAUACAUAUAUAAUACAUAUAUGAAUUAUAAAAUCAGUGUGCAAUAAUGUUGUAUUUAUUAAAUUUUUAAUUAAUUAAAACUCGGUGUUAAUUAAAUGAUGGUUAUCCCCAUGAAUUCAAUAUGAAUUAUAUUUUUAACAAAUGGAAUAAACAGACAACAAAUUACCUACACUUCAAUAAACAGCUUUUACUAAUAAUUUUAAAGCAAACAGUUGAUAUAAAAAUAAUAUAUGUAUCUACUAAAUAGGGAAACAACCAACUUUUUUCCCGAAAUCAGAUAAUAGCAGUCAAUUUAUAGAAUAGACACAAUCGCUCAGUAUUAUCACUUAUAACAGCUAUAAUCUGUACAAUAACGAUCCAUCACUGAGUUAUCUAAUUGCGACAUCCAUGAAAAAGUUAACGAAACUGUAAAUCUUAUUUUGAAUGAUAAUAUUACAUAAAGAAAAUUCAAGGCUCUAACAGCCACAGACUUGUAUCUACAGAUAUCCUUAUUCCCAAAUAUCAUAUAAGGAUGUGUAGUUUUAAAAUAAACUUUUAUUGUUAUUCACCACGUAAAAUAAGUUUAAACAAGUAAAUCUCAUUACUAGCUAAGCAUUAUGUCCGUGGGACACCACUCCAAGAUUUUAAUUUAUAUGAAUGCGAUACUACCCUGCAACGACCCCCCCCCUGCCUCGAGUGCCUAUGAAGAUUUCCAUCACGUAAAAAAAAACGGCACAUUAUGUUUAUCUUCUGACAAAAUCCAAAAUUUCCCUAUAUUUGUAAAUAAACAAGCAACAAACAUUAAUCUUUAAAGCUUACACAAUUUCCGCAUUUCUCUCUAUUCCUGUUACUAUUACUAGCCUCUUAAUCUAAUUACUGUAACUAGUCAUUACUAUCAUUAUCAUUACUAUACUUAUACGUUGUGUGCUUGCUACAUGACAUUAUCAAGUGUAAUAUCAUAUGCAUGUAUACGAUGUCCUAUGAUCGAUAAUACAUUUUAUCGUGUGGCUGAAGAGUUAAGAUAAUCAAAAUAUUAAGAAAACCAUAUGAUAAUUUAUGUUGUCUCUGUUUGUUUGUGCUCUCUGUUUAAACAAAUUAGAGAAAUUUGGAAAACAAACUUAUUAAUAUUCUUUGUUAUUAGAUUCUAUUGAUCCUAAGUUGAGAACAAUUGAACACUCUCUGACUGUAUAUACUCGAUAAAGUAAUAAAAACUUUUUCUUACU